rnacentral:rRNA from 2 species
AAAUUGAAGAGUUUGAUCAUGGCUCAGAUUGAACGCUGGCGGCAGGCCUAACACAUGCAAGUCGAACGGUAACAGGAAACAGCUUGCUGUUUCGCUGACGAGUGGCGGACGGGUGAGUAAUGUCUGGGAAACUGCCUGAUGGAGGGGGAUAACUACUGGAAACGGUAGCUAAUACCGCAUAACGUCGCAAGACCAAAGAGGGGGACCUUCGGGCCUCUUGCCAUCGGAUGUGCCCAGAUGGGAUUAGCUAGUAGGUGGGGUAACGGCUCACCUAGGCGACGAUCC